GCGUGGUAGAAGGUCUCCUUUUGAGUAGAGAUGGUAGAAGGUCUAUCAAAGCACAGUGCAAUUAACUUGAAGCAGGAGAGAAAGAGACAGAGGCACAUGGAUAAUGUUAUAGGUAGCCAGCUACAAGCAUUUAGAAUUUUGCUCAAAACCAAAGAUCCCAAAAUUUUAUUUCAAAGAUUUGGAAAACCUCAACUCAUAAAGUAGUUAACUUGCACUAUUAACAGUUGGCUACUUCCUUUCGUUUCUCUCUUGGCAGCUUCUCAAUCAAGACCAACUCAACUACAUCUGCUAUCACCACCACAUUCUGCAAAACACAAUAUGAUGUAGACAUGAUUAAACAGUAAUUAUGGAGUAUCUACG
rnacentral:lncRNA from 1 species